rnacentral:sRNA from 1 species
ACCUAAACGGGAUGGAAGCGGCAUCCUCCGAUUUUUCGUCGGAGAUAUAGCAAACAGCCCGACCGAAG